GCCCCGGCCUCUGCAUCGAGUGAUGCAUGCAACCAUCUUUAUUACUUAUUCAACAAAGGUCUGACAAGUACAUACAUCAAACCACCCGAAGCCCCCUCUUACACCUACAUACCGUGAUAAUGUGGAGUGCUCUCACUCCCCAUAUCUAAAUCCGGUGUCGUCUCCGAUCCAUCCACAUAACGUAUCGGAACUCAUAGCCGGUGCAGCGGACCUAAAGCGUACACCACAUGCACACGUUUUAGAAGCCGCC
rnacentral:lncRNA from 1 species